GAUGAACGCUGGCGGCGUGCUUAACACAUGCAAGUCGAACGAGAGGACAAGAGAAGCUUGCUUCUUUUGGGAUCGAGUGGCAAACGGGUGAGUAACACGUAAACAACCUGCCUUCAGGAUGGGGACAACAGACGGAAACGACUGCUAAUACCGAAUACGCUUGGGAGACCGCAUGAUCUUCCAAGGAAAGGGUGGCCUCUACCUGUAAGCUAUCGCCUGAAGAGGGGUUUGCGUCUGAUUAGGCAGUUGGUGAGGUAACGGCCCACCAAACCUACGAUCAGUAGCCGGUCUGAGAGGAUGAACGGCCACACUGGAACUGAGACACGGGUCCAGACUCCUACGGGAGGCAGCAGUGGGGAAUCUUCCGCAAUGGGACGAAAGCCUGACGGAGCAACGCCGCGUGAGUGAU
rnacentral:rRNA from 1 species